UGUGGAAGAAAACAAAGAGACAGAGAAAGCUCUCAGCCCAAGUGGGCAGGGAGUGAGGGAUCCAUUGGGGAGAUGCUGCUUUGAAAGGAGAUGAGAGGAAGGGACAGAAGGAAGGUUCAGGACAGCGAUGGGGUCCUAAUACAUCAAAAAUCUACCCUUGGAAGCAUACAUCCCUGCUCAAACAUUCGAAAUACCAGGAUUUCACCAUGGGGCAGAUCGAGUGCAACUUCGUAGGAAUUCUUCCCAGGUGCUGAGGUUCUGCAGCCACCACCAGCUACUGGUGCUGGAGGGACACUUCCAGCAGCACCAGCGUCCCUCAAGGCACCUGGCUGCAGGAUUACACAGCAGUUGUGCUUGCUGACCUCGCAGGGGAAACCCCAGAGUUGGAUCCAUCUGACUCAAACCAUCUAAAAGGCAUAAAUCUAAACUUAGGGCAACACAUUUUAAAACCAUCCUAUUACAAAUGCUCAGCCACUUUGCUUCAAAACACUUCAGCAGUGCUGUAUUCAGUAACACAAAGAGCCAGGUGUUGUAAUGUCUGAAGUAAAAACUGCAAGGAAAGCUCAUGCACUUCUUUUUGUGUAGGUAAAAGCUGCAGGUGCUUGUGACAUUCUUUCUCAGCCCCUCAUCCCUUUCUCAGGAGAGCUGAGAUACCAUGAAUUUAUGCCUCGAGCCUGCAGGGGAUUUCCCACGGAAAUGACUUGCAAGUACUGUUUCUUCCAGAUGCGGUGAACAGAGGUUUUGAUCAUGAGACUAAUGCUCUCCUGGGCUUAGAGGGACUUUGCAACCAAAAUGAUGACUUCUGCAAACCUUUUCAGCUGCAGAAGAGCGAGCUGAAGGCAAAAAAUUAAAUGCUGUGGCAGCUGCUGACAGUCUUAUGUGAGUGUUAUGUGACAUUCUGGGUAGGUUAUGAAAAGCCAGAGGACUUCCACUGUUCGUCUAGGAUCUCUGUGGGCUUGGAUAUCUAGAGAAAGAGAAACUUGGGAGCAGAAAAGGUGAUAGAAAUGAAAAUAGUAUUCUAAGAGCAGACUUCAGCUUGUGCCUGCAGAGGGACACAAACAACCCCCGAAAGUAGAGGAGGUCAAGAACAUUCCUGCUGAAGGCUUUUAUGGAAACCUGCUGCUCCUGAGAACAACCUGGUGCUGUUUGGAGCUCUGAGGCUUCAACUCCUUUCAGGUGCUCUGUGCCUGUUGCAGAACGUAUUGGUUUUAUAAUGCCAUAAGUCUUCCCUUGAAUGCUACAGAGCAAUUGCCUCAAUCUGGAGGCAGAGGGAACCAAUUAUCCCAAUUCUGGCAGAUGUAGCUCCUUGCACAAAGUUGCAGCUUUUCAUUAUUCGGUAUGAUUUGAGCACACUGUGAAAAGUACUGCAGCUCUUCAGUUCCCUGUGCUGUAAUAGAUUAGAGACAUGGUUUUGUCCUUGCAGUCCUGGGCUGUAAAAUGUAAAUGUAACCCCAGGUGUUUCCUAUUGCUAUUAUCCCCAACUGGAACUGUAGGCACCCUUGCUGAAAGGCACACAAAGAUGUUUGUUUCAAUAAUGUGUAUAUAUACAUAUAUCUUUUCUUUUAAAGUUGUUCAAAUUCCACUGAUGCCUCCUAUAGAAAAUGCUUUAAGAACCUGCCAGCACUAGUACUCCAUUUCAUGCCCUUGCAGCUGUCGAAAAACCUUUCUAAGAGCUGUGUGUUCAGUCUGGGUGUAGUCAGAGAUGUCUCUGCAGACUGUUUGUUGCCUGUCCUUGGCAAUAGUUCUGCCACUGCUAAACCCUUGUUGCAGAUU